rnacentral:rRNA from 1 species
GACGAACGCUGGCGGCGUGCUUAACACAUGCAAGUCGAACGGAAAGGCCCUGCUUUUGUGGGGUGCUCGAGUGGCGAACGGGUGAGUAACACGUGUGUAACCUGCCCUUGACUUUGGGAUAACUUCAGGAAACUGGGGCUAAUACCGGAUAGGAGCUCCUGCAGCAUGGUGGGGGUUGGAAAGUCUCGGCGGUUGGGGAUGGACGCGCGGCUUAUCAGCUAGUUGGUGGGGUAGUGGCUUACCCAGGCUUUGACGGGUAGCCGGCCUGGGAGGGUGACCGGCCACAUUGGGACUGAGAGACGGCCCAGACUCCUACGGGAGGCAGCAGUGGGGAAUAUUGCACAAUGGGCGGAAGCCUGAUGCAGCAACGCCGCGUGCGUGAUGACGGCCUUCGGGUUGUAAACCGCUUUCGCCUGUGACGAAGCGUGAGUGACGGUAAUGGGUAAAGAAGCACCGGCUAACUACGUG